rnacentral:rRNA from 1 species
UACGUAGGUGGCAAGCGUUGUCCGGAUUUAUUGGGUUUAAAGGGUGCGUAGGCGGCCCUGUAAGUCAGUGCUGAAAUAUCCCAGCUUAACUGGGAGGGUGGCAUUGAUACUGCGGGGCUAGAGUACAGAUGAGGUAGGCGGAAUUGACGGUGUAGCGGUGAAAUGCUUAGAUAUCGUCAAGAACACCUAUAGCGAAGGCAGCUUACUAGGCUGUAACUGACACUGAGGCACGAAAGUGUGGGGAUCAAACAGG